UCCUCCAGCCAAGAGGAAUUUGAACGCUUUUCCCGAAUAGUGGAAAAUGAACGUCUCAUGGAGCUAGGGUCUGUCACCACCUGGAAACAUGAGCCCCCAGAAGAACACAAGAAAUAAACACACAGCCAAGCUUGUGGGACUUGAUUCCAUCCCAUUGCUUCUCACUUCCAGUGGAUGAUUCUGCCUCCUCCAUGUGAAGAACGGCUUUCAGAAGAGACACUUGCAUCUCUAAGGUCUCAGUUGUAUGUAGAUUGCUGUUCCUGGAAUUGUCCAUCAUCAGCUGGGUCCAUACAGGCCAACUGGAAUAUUUCCUGCGGGGAGAGUGGACUCAUCGAAGGGUAUCCACUCCGGCCACUCCUGCAAAGCAAUGCCAAGUUCAGAGCUGUAAGAAUGAGAGAGGAGCCCUGUCAUGUUCACCACGCUACCUCCAAAGCAAUCUCUACUUGAACAAUUCAGGGCUCUGGAAACACAGAUGGUUCCAAAGAACCAGCCUGCUGCUCCACCAGCAUCUCCGUUUCAGGAAAUGGACCAACAUCCACCUAGAAGCUCAAACCAGAAACCCGAGGGUCAUCUUGGAUUCCUCCCUGUCCUUCACACCAUGUAGCAAAUCAAUAUCAAUCACCAAAUCCUAUCCGUUCUGUGUAUUAAUUGCCUCUCAAGUCUGAUUCUGUCUCCCCAUUUCUAUCCUGUUUGUUAGU